AUUGAACGCUGGCGGCAGGCCUAACACAUGCAAGUCGAGCGAGCGGCGGACGGGUGAGUAAUGUAUGGGGAUCUGCCUGAUAGAGGGGGCUAACUACUGGAAACGGUGGCUAAUACCGCAUACCAUCGGAUGAACCCAUAUGGGAUUAGCUAGUAGGUGGGGUAACGGCUUACCUAGGCGACGAUCCCUAGCUGGUCUGAGAGGAUGAUCAGCCACACUGGGACUGAGACACGGCCCAGACUCCUACGGGAGGCAGCAGGGGGGAAUAUUGCACAAUGGGCGCAAGCCUGAUGCAGCCAUGCCGCGUGUAUGAAGAAGGCCUUCGGGUUGUAAAGUACUUUCAGCGUGGAGGCGUUACCCGCAGAAGAAGCACCGGCUAACUCCGUGCCAGCAGCCGCGGUAAUAC
rnacentral:rRNA from 1 species